GACGAACGCUGGCGGCGUGCCUAAUACAUGCAAGUCGAGCGAAGUUUUUCUGGUGCUUGCACUAGAAAAACUUAGCGGCGAACGGGUGAGUAACACGUAAAGAACCUGCCUCAUAGACUGGGACAACUAUUGGAAACGAUAGCUAAUACCGGAUAACAGCAUUUACUGCAUGGUUGAUGUUUAAAAGUUGGUUUUGCUAACACUAUGAGAUGGCUUUGCGGUGCAUUAGCUAGUUGGUGGGGUAAAGGCCUACCAAGGCGACGAUGCAUAGCCGACCUGAGAGGGUGAUCGGCCACACUGGGACUGAGACACGGCCCAGACUCCUACGGGAGGCAGCAGUAGGGAAUCUUCCGCAAUGGGCGAAAGCCUGACGGAGCAACGCCGCGUGAGUGAAGAAGGAUUUCGGUUCGUAAAGCUCUGUUGUUAGGGAAGAAUGAUUGUGUAGUAACUAUACACAGUAGAGACGGUACCUAACCAGAAAGCCACGGCUAACUACGUG
rnacentral:rRNA from 1 species